UACGUAGGGGGCUAGCGUUGUCCGGAUUUAUUGGGCGUAAAGAGCGUGUAGGCGGCCAGGUAGGUCUGCUGUGAAAACUCGAGGCUCAACCUCGAGACGUCGGCGGAAACCAUCUGGCUAGAGUCCGGAAGAGGAGAGUGGAAUUCCUGGUGUAGCGGUGGAAUGCGCAGAUAUCAGGAGGAACACCGGUGGCGAAGGCGGUUCUCUGGGCCUGUACUGACGCUGAGGAACGAAAGCGUGGGGAGCGAACAGG
rnacentral:rRNA from 1 species